rnacentral:snoRNA from 1 species
UGGCUUGAUGAGAUGGAAUCGGGGGUUAAGGAAAUGAGUUUUGAUGAAAUGCGACAGCUGAAU